rnacentral:rRNA from 1 species
UACGGAGGGUGCAAGCGUUAUCCGGAUUCACUGGGUUUAAAGGGUGCGUAGGCGGGUCAGUAAGUCCGUGGUGAAAUCUCCAAGCUUAACUUGGAAACUGCCGUGGAUACUAUUGGUCUUGAAUGUUGUGGAGGUUAGCGGAAUAUGUCAUGUAGCGGUGAAAUGCUUAGAUAUGACAUAGAACACCAAUUGCGAAGGCAGCUGGCUACACAAAUAUUGACGCUGAGGCACGAAAGCGUGGGGAGCGAACAGG